rnacentral:misc_RNA from 1 species
UUUCCGUAGGUGAACCUGCGGAAGGAUCAUUAAUGUGUUUGGGCCUCACGGCUCUUCAUUCCGACGCUGUGCGCCUUCGGGCUGCACGCUGAGGGAGCAUAUAUCCACCCCUGUGCACACACACGGUGGCGAGCUGGGUAACGGCUCGCCGCUGAUCUUUACACACGUCUAAAAGUCAUUUUAUGUUUAUUUGAGAUAAAAACACAACUUUCAGCAACGGAUCUCUUGGCUCUC